rnacentral:rRNA from 1 species
UGAGGGUGCGUAGGCGGCUCUGCAAGUCAGGUGUGAAAACUAUCGGCUCAACCGGUAGACUGCAUUUGAAACUGUGGAGCUUGAGUGGAGCAGAGGCAGAUGGAAUUCCCGGUGUAGCGGUGAAAUGCGUAGAGAUCGGGAGGAACACCAGUGGCGAAGGCGAUCUGCUGGGCUUUAACUGACGCUGAGGCACGAAAGCAUGGGUAGCAAACAGGAUUAGAUACCCUGGUAGUCCAUGCCGUAAACGAUGAUUACUAGGUGUGGGGGGUCUGACCCCCUCCGUGCCGGAGUUAACACAAUAAGUAAUCCACCUGGGAAGUACGACCGCAAGGUUGAAACUCAAAGGAAUUGACGGGGGCCCGCACAAGCAGUGGAGUAUGUGGUUUAAUUCGAAGCAACGCGAAGAACCUUACCAGGUCUUGACAUCCAACUAAUCCUGUAGAGAUACGGGAGUGCCCUUCGGGGAAAGUUGAGACAGGUGGUGCAUGGUUGUCGUCAGCUCGUGUCGUGAGAUGUUGGGUUAAGUCCCGCAACGGGCGCAACCCCUAUUAUUAGUUGCUACGCAAGAGCACUCUAAUGAGACUGCCGUUGACAAAACGGAGGAAGGUGGGGAUGACGUCAAAUCAUCAUGCCCCUUAUGACCUGGGCUACACACGUACUACAAUGGCACUCAAACAAAGGCGGCCACACCCGCAAGGUGGAGCGAAUCCCAAAAAAGUGCCACAGUUCGGAUUGCAGCUGC